ACAUAGGGUGCAAGCGUUGUCCGGAAUUAUUGGGCGUAAAGAGCUCGUAGGUCGUUUGUUACGUCGGAUGUGAAAACCUGAGGCUCAACCUCAGGCCUGCAUUCGAUACGGGCAAACUAGAGUUUGGUAGGGGAGACUGGAAUUCCUGGUGUAGCGGUGGAAUGCGCAGAUAUCAGGAGGAGCACCAAUGGCGAAGGCAGGUCUCUGGGCCAAUACUGACACUGAGGAGCGAAAGUCUGGGGAGCGAACAGGAUUAGAUACCCUGGUAGUCCAGACCGUAAACGGUGGGCACUAGUUGUGGGAACCUUCCACGGUUUCUGCGACGCAGCUAACGCAUUAAGUGCCCCGCCUGGGGAGUACGAUCGCAAGAUUA
rnacentral:rRNA from 1 species